GUACAAGCCUCACUAAGGUGAAACCGCGAAUGGCUCAUUAAAUCACACCUAAUCUACUGGAUAGUAGUCAGUUACUCGGAUACCUGCGGUAAUUCUGCAGCUAAUACGUGCAAACAAGCCUCGACUUCGGAAGAGGCGCUUUUAUUAGAUCAAAACCGAUCGGCUUCGGCCGUCCUUUUGGUGAUUCUGAAUAACUUUGAGCUGAUCGCAUGGCCUCGAGCCGGCGACAUAUCCUUCGAAGGUGUGCCCUAUCAUCUGUCGACUGUGGCAUAGACGCCCACAGUGGAUUUGACGGGUAACGGGGAAUCAGGGUUCGAUUCCGGAGAGGGAGCCUUAAAAACGGCUACCACAUCCAAGGAAGGCAGCAGGCACGCAAAUUACCCAAUGACCGAAGGUCGAGGUAGUGACGAAAAAUAACGAUACGGGACUCAUCCGAGGCCCCGUAAUCGGAAUGAGUACACUUUAAAACCUUUCCAACGAGGAUCUAUUGGAGGGCAAGUCUGGUGCCAGCAGCCGCGGUAAUUCCAGCUCCAAUAGCGUAUAUUAAAGUUGUUGCGGUUAAAAAGCUCGUAGUUGGAUCUCGGCGGCUAGAGGGCGGUAUGCUUCGUAGCAUUACUGCUCUAUUAGCCGUAGUUUUGCUAGAGGUUCCUGGGUGCUCUUAAUCGAGUGUCUAGGGAUGCUAGCAGGUUUACUUUGAAAAAAUUAGAGUGCUCAAAGCAGGCUAUUACGCUUGAAUAUUCGUGCAUGGAAUAAUAGAAUAGGAAGUUGUUUCUAUUUUGUUGGUUUUCGGAAAUCGACUUAAUGAUUAAUAGGGACAGUCGGGGGCAUUUGUAUUCAAACGACAGAGGUGAAAUUCUUGGACCGUUUGAAGACAAGCUACUGCGAAAGCAUUUGCCAAGAAUGUUUUCAUUAAUCAAGAACGAAAGUUAGAGGUUCGAAGGCGAUUAGAUACCGCCCUAGUUCUAACCAUAAACGAUGCCAGCUAGCGAUCUGAGGACGUUUUUUUUGUAGACUCCUCAGGAAGCUUCCGGGAAACCAAAGCGUGUGGGUUCCGGGGGAAGUAUGGUUGCAAAGCUGAAACUUAAAGGAAUUGACGGAAGGGCACCACCAGGAGUGGAGCCUGCGGCUUAAUUUGACUCAACACGGGAAAUCUCACCAGGCCCGGACACUGGAAGGAUUGACAGAUUGAGAGCUCUUUCUCGAUUCGGUGGGUGGUGGUGCAUGGCCGUUCUUAGUUGGUGGAGUGAUUUGUCUGGUUAAUUCCGAUAACGAACGAGACUCUGUCCUGCUAAAUAGUGUCAGCCUCUCUUCUGGGCUGACAAUUCUUCUUAGAGGGACUGGCGGCUCCUAGCCGCACGAGAUAGAGCAAUAACAGGUCUGUGAUGCCCUUAGAUGUUCUGGGCCGCACGCGCGCUACACUGAAUAGAUCAGCGUGUUCUCCCUUUCUGAGAAGAACGGGUAAACCGCUGAACCCUAUUCGUGGUAGGGAUCGGGGCUUGCAAUUAUUCCCCGUGAACCAGGAAUUCCCAGUAGGCGCGAGUCAUAAGCUCGCGUCGAUUACGUCCCUGCCCUUUGUACACACCGCCCGUCGCUACUACCGAUUGAACGUUUUAGUGAGGUCCACGGACUGUUUGCAGAGCGGAUUAUUCUGCCCUGCUGGCGGGAAGUCGACCAAACUUGAGCGUUUAGAGGAAGUAAAAGUCGUAACAAGGUUUCCGUAGUAACCCUGCAGAACUUGUUAGAUUUAUUCUUAAGCUAGUUGGCGACUUCCACCGGAGGCAGACUGUCGGAGAGGAGAAGUCGUGAGAACGUUCCGGAGGUUAACCUAGAAGAAGGGAAAGGACUCCAUGAGCUUUUCGUCCCACAUAAAUUGGAAGAGAGGGGCAGGGGAUCUACACUCUUUAAAGCCGGGGAGGGGAAAUAAGGAAUGACAGGGACCCGGUGUAAAAGGGCUCUAAAAAAAAAGCUGCUUGUAGAAAAAAGGGGCUGUUUUGAGGUUUAUUAUUUCUUC
rnacentral:rRNA from 1 species